rnacentral:rRNA from 1 species
GAUGAACGCUGACAGAAUGCUUAACACAUGCAAGUCAACUUGAACUUCGGUUUGGGUGGCGGACGGGUGAGUAACGCGUAAAGAACUUGCCUCACAGAUAGGGACAACAUUUGGAAACGAAUGCUAAUACCUGAUAUUAUGAUUAUAUGGCAUCGUAUAAUUAUGAAAGCUAUAUGCGCUGUGAGAGAGCUUUGCGUCCCAUUAGCUAGUUGGCGAGGUAACGGCUCACCAAGGCGAUGAUGGGUAGCCGGCCUGAGAGGGUGAUAGGCCACAAGGGGACAGGGACACGGCCCUUAGGCAAUCGUGAGGCAUGAGUGGAGAAUUUAGGACGAAGCACCAAGAGUCUGAUGCAGCUAUUCUGAGUGUACGAUUAAGUUAUUCGGGAUGUAAAGAUGUUUAAGUAAGUAAGAAAAAAAUGACGGUACCAACUGAGAAAGCGACGGCUAAAUACGUG